rnacentral:lncRNA from 1 species
CAGCUCUCUGUAGGAAAAUGGCCAGUAGAAAUAUCAUGCUGCGUGCUUCCGUUUACCAAGUGGAAAAUUAUUUUUAAUGUACUCCUGAAGAAAGGUAACAGUUUUCAUCAAUAAAACAGCGCUGGAGACCUUGAAACUGACCCCUAGACUUGCUGCAAAAGUAGUGAUGCUUUGAAAAGCCGCCCCGCGUCAGGUGAACGAGAGCACUGGGUGCAUCCCGGGGGUCCCGGGGCAGGACCAUGCUUGGGCGAGCUGGGCUUCCUCCUCCGCUUGGAGCGGCACUGGCAGCACCUGGGUGCGAGCAGACAUGUCUGAAAAAGUGUUUCAGAAGUUAUUAAUUUAAAGCAAGCAGCUGCAUACUGAUAACAAGGGAAAUAUCUCACUGCAGCUUUAGAUCACAGGAAUCCACUAAGCAAAGGUACCGAUUUUUCUUUUUAAUUUUGAAAAAAAUACCACUGAUUAGAGUGCUAGUCUGAAAUUAAAUCAUGUAUCUGCUUAUUUUGCAAGAGAAACAUUACAGAAGUGGGUUUAAAUAGCUGCAACUUUUCUGAAUAUCUCACAAACAAUAAUUUACUGUGAAUGGAAAAGCUCCUGAAUGCUUCUUCCUCUAAUUAUUAUUCAUUUGUUACAUAAGGACUGAAGAUGUGACGCUGUUCAUAAAUGCACUUUAAAUACUGACUGUUUAUAAACUUUAUGCUUGUUCUUAAAGUUAUUAUCACAGAAUUGUGAUUUAAGUGUGUUAUAUGUGUUUCUAAUGCCCAUUGUGGUGCAUCCGGAGCAAUUCUGAGCAGCAUUUAUCUACUGAGCUCAGAACGGUGACUGCUAUCGUCAUAAAUAUCUAUAUAGUGCUUGUAAUGGCUUGUUUUCCAUGCAAUAGCCUGUUCUUAUACCUUAACUUCAGACAGCUCAGUUUUAUCAAAUAAUAAAAUAUUUUUUCAAAUGAAUCA